rnacentral:lncRNA from 1 species
GGCGUGAAUCAUGUUUUUGUACCCUUGUGGGUGAUUUAGUAGCCUCAUUUGAUGCACUCGAAACCACAUCAGGUAUCUUUUCAGGCAUCAUAAAGUUUUCAGCUUCAGGUGCCUUUAGGGGCAUUUUAGUCACAUCGUUCAUGUUAAAGGUUUCAGCUUCAGCUGCCUUUAGGGGCAUCUUAGUCACAUCGGGCAUGGUAAAGGUUUCAGCUUCAGGUUCCUUUAGGGGCAUUUUAGUCACAACAGGCAUGGUAUAGGUUUCAGCUUCAGGUGCCUUUAUGGGCAUUUUGGUCACAUGGGGUAUCUUUUCAGGCAUGGUGAAGGUUACAGCUUCAGGUGUCUUUAUGGGCAUUUUGGUCACAUCGGGUCUUUUUUCAGGGAUGGUGAAGGUUUCAGAUGCAGAGGCCUUUAUGGGUAUUUUAGUCAGAUCAGGUCUUUUUUCAGGAAUGGUGAAGGUUUCAGCUUCAGGUACCUUUAUGGGUAUUUUAGUCACAUCAGGUCUUUUUCCGGGCAUGGUGAAUGUUUUGGGUUCAGGUUCAGGUGUUGGGUUCAUUAUUGGGGCAGGUGUAUCUGUGUUGGUUAAUACCCGGGCAGAUGGAUCGGGCAGUUGUGAUUCAUCAGUGUUCAACUUCUCUCUCUUUUCA